GGGUUGUGAGGUUAAGCGACUAAGCGUACACGGUGGAUGCCUAGGCAGUCAGAGGCGAUGAAGGGCGUGCUAAUCUGCGAUAAGCGUCGGUAAGCUGAUAUGAAGCGUUAUACCCGACGAUACCCGAAUGGGGAAACCCAGUGUGUUUCGACACACUAUCAUGACAUGAAUACAUAGUGUCAUGAGGCGAACCGGGGGAACUGAAACAUCUCAGUACCCCGAGGAAAAGAAAUCAACCGAGAUUCCCCCAGUAGCGGCGAGCGAACGGGGAGGAGCCCAGAACCUGAAUCAGUUUGUGUGUUAGUGGAAGCGUCUGGAAAGUCGCACAGUAAAGGGUGAUAGUCCCGUACACAAAAAUGCACAGAUUGUGAGUUCGAUGAGUAGGGCGGGACACGUGACAUCCUGUCUGAAUAUGGGGGGACCAUCCUCCAAGGCUAAAUACUCCUGACUGACCGAUAGUGAACCAGUACCGUGAGGGAAAGGCGAAAAGAACCCCGGCGAGGGGAGUGAAAUAGAACCUGAAACCGUGUACGUACAAGCAGUGGGAGCCUACUUGUUAGGUGACUGCGUACCUUUUGUAUAAUGGGUCAGCGACUUAUAUUCUGUAGCAAGGUUAACCGUAUAGGGGAGCCGCAGGGAAACCGAGUCUUAACUGGGCGUUAAGUUGCAGGGUAUAGACCCGAAACCCGGUGAUCUAGCCAUGGGCAGGUUGAAGGUUGGGUAACACUAACUGGAGGACCGAACCGACUAAUGUUGAAAAAUUAGCGGAUGACUUGUGGCUGGGGGUGAAAGGCCAAUCAAACCGGGAGAUAGCUGGUUCUCCCCGAAAGCUAUUUAGGUAGCGCCUCGUGAAUUCAUCUUCGGGGGUAGAGCACUGUUUCGGCUAGGGGGUCAUCCCGACUUACCAACCCGAUGCAAACUACGAAUACCGAAGAAUGUUAUCACGGGAGACACACGGCGGGUGCUAACGUUCGUCGUGAAGAGGGAAACAACCCAGACCGCCAGCUAAGGUCCCAAAGUCAUGGUUAAGUGGGAAACGAUGUGGGAAGGCAUAGACAGCCAGGAUGUUGGCUUAGAAGCAGCCAUCAUUUAAAGAAAGCGUAAUAGCUCACUGGUCGAGUCGGCCUGCGCGGAAGAUGUAACGGGGCUAAACCAUGCACCGAAGCUGCGGCAGCGACACUUAGGUGUUGUUGGGUAGGGGAGCGUUCUGUAAGCCGUCGAAGGUGGCCUGUGAGGGCUGCUGGAGGUAUCAGAAGUGCGAAUGCUGACAUAAGUAACGAUAAUGCGGGUGAAAAACCCGCACGCCGGAAGACCAAGGGUUCCUGUCCAACGUUAAUCGGGGCAGGGUGAGUCGACCCCUAAGGCGAGGCUGAAAAGCGUAGUCGAUGGGAAACAGGUUAAUAUUCCUGUACUCGGUGUUACUGCGAAGGGGGGACGGAGAAAGCUAGGUUAUCCGGGCGACGGUUGUCCCGGUUUAAGCGUGAAGGUGGAUGACUUUGGUAAAUCCGGGUCGUCAUUAACACUGAGGCGUGAUGACGAGUCACUACGGUGAUGAAGUAACCGAUGCUACGCUUCCAGGAAAAGCCUCUAAGCUCCAGGUAACAUCAAAUCGUACCCCAAACCGACACAGGUGGUCAGGUAGAGAAUACUCAGGCGCUUGAGAGAACUCGGGUGAAGGAACUAGGCAAAAAUGGUGCCGUAACUUCGGGAGAAGGCACGCUGAUGGUAGGUGAAGUGACUUGCUCAUGGAGCUGAAAUCAGUCGAAGAUACCAGCUGGCUGCAACUGUUUAAUAAAAACACAGCACUGUGCAAACACGAAAGUGGACGUAUACGGUGUGACGCCUGCCCGGUGCCGGAAGGUUAAUUGAUGGGGGUCAGCCGCAAGGCGAAGCUCUUGAUCGAAGCCCCGGUAAACGGCGGCCGUAACUAUAACGGUCCUAAGGUAGCGAAAUUCCUUGUCGGGUAAGUUCCGACCUGCACGAAUGGCGUAAUGAUGGCCAGGCUGUCUCCACCCGAGACUCAGUGAAAUUGAACUCGCUGUGAAGAUGCAGUGUACCCGCGGCAAGACGGAAAGACCCCGUGAACCUUUACUAUAGCUUGACACUGAACCUUGAGCCUUGAUGUGUAGGAUAGGUGGGAGGCUUUGAAGCGUGGACGCCAGUCUGCGUGGAGCCAACCUUGAAAUACCACCCUUUAAUGUUUGAUGUUCUAACGUGGACCCGUAAUCCGGGUUGCGGACAGUGUCUGGUGGGUAGUUUGACUGGGGCGGUCUCCUCCCAAAGCGUAACGGAGGAGCACGAAGGUUAGCUAAUCCUGGUCGGACAUCAGGAGGUUAGUGCAAAGGCAUAAGCUAGCUUGACUGCGAGAGUGACAGCUCGAGCAGGUGCGAAAGCAGGUCUUAGUGAUCCGGUGGUUCUGAAUGGAAGGGCCAUCGCUCAACGGAUAAAAGGUACUCCGGGGAUAACAGGCUGAUACCGCCCAAGAGUUCAUAUCGACGGCGGUGUUUGGCACCUCGAUGUCGGCUCAUCACAUCCUGGGGCUGAAGUAGGUCCCAAGGGUAUGGCUGUUCGCCAUUUAAAGUGGUACGCGAGCUGGGUUUAGAACGUCGUGAGACAGUUCGGUCCCUAUCUGCCGUGGGCGUUGGAAGAUUGAGAGGGGUUGCUCCUAGUACGAGAGGACCGGAGUGAACGCACCACUGGUGUACGGGUUGUGAUGCCAAUUGCAUUGCCCGGUAGCUAAGUGCGGAAGAGAUAACCGCUGAAAGCAUCUAAGCGGGAAACUUGCCUCGAGAUGAGUCUUCCCUGGGCACUUGAUGCCCCUGAAGGGCCGUUGAAGACGACGACGUAGAUAGGCUGGGUGUGUAAGCGUAGCGAUACGUUGAGCUAACCAGUACUAAUGACCCGAGAGGCUUAACCUUACAACACCGAAGGUGUUU
rnacentral:rRNA from 1 species